rnacentral:rRNA from 1 species
GGUAGCUACACAUGCAAGUCGACGGCAGCACAGAGGAGCUUGCUCCUUGGGUGGCUAGUGGCGGACGGGUGAGGAAUACAUCGGAAUCUACUCUGUCGUGGGGGAUAACGUAGGGAAACUUACGCUAAUACCGCAUACGACCUACGGGUGAAAGCAGGGGAUCUUCGGRCCUUGCGCGAUUGAAUGAGCCGAUGUCGGAUUAKCUAGUUGGCGGGGUAAAGGCCCACCAAGGCGACGAUCCGUAGCUGGUCUGAGAGGAUGAUCAGCCACACUGGAACUGAGACACGGUCCAGACUCCUACGGGAGGCAGCAGUGGGGAAUAUUGGACAAUGGGCGCAAGCCUGAUCCAGCCAUACCGCGUGGGUGAAGAAGGCCUUCGGGUUGUAAAGCCCUUUUGUUGGGAAAGAAAUCCAGCUGGCUAAUACCCGGUUGGGAUGACGGUACCCAAAGAAUAAGCACCGGCUAACUUCGUGCCAGCAGCCGCGGUAAUACGAAGGGUGCAAGCGUUACUCGGAAUUACUGGGCGUAAAGCGUGCGUAGGUGGUCGUUUAAGUCCGUUGUGAAAGCCCUGGGCUCAACCUGGGAACUGCAGUGGAUACUGGGCGACUAGARUGUGGUAGAGGGUAGCGGAAUUCCUGGUGUAGCAGUGAAAUGCGUAGAGAUCAGGAGGAACAUCCAUGGCGAAGGCAGCUACCUGGRMCAACAYUGACMCUGAGGCACGAAAGCGUGGGGGAGCAAACAGGAUUAGAUACCCUGGUUAGUCCACGCCCUAAACGAUGCGAACUGGAUGUUGGSUGCAAUUUGGCACGCAGUAUCGAAGCUAACGCGUUUAAGUUUCGCCGCCUGGGGGAGUACGGUCGCAGACUGAAACUCAAAGGAUUUGACGGGGG